ACUCUAAUAGUUUAUAAAAACAUUGGUCUUGUAAGCCAAAGAUUGGAGGCCAACUACCUCCUUAGAGUU
rnacentral:tRNA from 1 species